GUCCACGCUGUAAACGAUGGGCACUAGGUGCUCGGGGUAUUGACCCCCUGGGUGCCGUAGCUAACGCAUUAAGUGCCCCGCCUGGGGAUUACGGCCGCAAGGCUAAAACUCAAAGGAAUUGACGGGGGCCCGCACAAGCGGUGGAGCAUGUGGUUCAAUUCGACGCAACGCGAAGAACCUUACCUGGGCUAGACAACAGGAGAUCACCCCAGAAAUGGGGUUUUCCCUUCGGGGACUCCUGGUUCAGGUGCUGCAUGGCUGUCGU
rnacentral:rRNA from 1 species